GAUGAACGCUAGCGGCAGGCCUAAUACAUGCAAGUCGAACGGUGUCCUCGGACAUAGUGGCGCACGGGUGCGUAACACGUAUGCCACCUACCUUACAUUGGGGGAUAGCCUUUCGAAAGGGAGAUUAAUACCGCAUAAGACAGUAGCUGGGCAUCCAGCAGCUGUUAAAGAUUUAUCGAUGUAAGCUGGGCAUGCGUCCAAUUAGCUAGUUGGUGAGGUAACGGCUCACCAAGGCAAUGAUUGGUAGGGGAACUGAGAGGUCAAUCCCCCACACUGGCACUGAGAUACGGGCCAGACUCCUACGGGAGGCAGCAGUAGGGAAUAUUGGGCAAUGGACGCAAGUCUGACCCAGCCAUGCCGCGUGCAGGAUGAAGGCGUUAUGCGUUGUAAACUGCUUUUAUACAGGAAGAAACGACUCUUGCGAGAGGCAUUGACGGUACUGUAUGAAUAAGCACCGGCUAACUCCGUGCCAGCCGCCGCGGUAAAAC
rnacentral:rRNA from 1 species